GAUGAACGCUGGCGGCGUGCUUAACACAUGCAAGUCGAACGAGAAGUGAAGACGGAAACCUUCGGGCGGAAGGCUUUAUUUCGAGUGGCGGACGGGUGAGUAACGCGUGGGUAACCUGCCUCAUACAGGGGGAUAACAGUUGGAAACGACUGUUAAUACCGCAUAAGACCACAGCACCGCAUGGUGCGGGGGUAAAAACUCCGGUGGUAUGAGAUGGACCCGCGUUCGAUUAGCCAGUUGGCGGGGUAACGGCCCACCAAAGCGACGAUCGAUAGCCGAUCAGAGAGGAUGACCGGCCACAUUGGGACUGAGACACGGCCCAAACUCCUACGGGAGGCAGCAGUGGGGAAUAUUGUACAAUGGGGGAAACCCUGAUGCAGCGACGCCGCGUGAGUGAAGAAGUAUUUCGGUAUGUAAAGCUCUAUCAGCAGGGAAGAAAAUGACGGUACCUGAGUAAGAAGCCCCGGCUAACUACGUG
rnacentral:rRNA from 1 species